rnacentral:misc_RNA from 1 species
AAGUCGUAACAAGGUUUCCGUAGGUGAACCUGCGGAAGGAUCAUUAGCGAGUUAGGGUCUCUUUGGCCCGACCUCCCAACCCUUUGUCUACUUAACCAUCGUUGCUUCGGCGAGCCCGUCCUCACGGACCGCCGGAGGGACCUUCACCGGCCCUCUGGCCCGCGCUCGUCGAUGGCCCAACCUUUAAAAUCUUAACUAAACGUGCCUUAAUCUAAGUACAAUUAUUAAAUUAAAGCAAAACUUUCAACAACGGAUCUCUUGGUUCUG